rnacentral:lncRNA from 1 species
UUUUAGUCAUGAUUUUUUGACUCGUGGGGCUGUAUAGAGAGACUGGAAUAGUAAUCUCUGCAUGCCACUGUUCUAAUAAGUCUCGACCCCAUAAAUUAAUUAGAAUAGAAGUAAUCAUAGGCUGAACUGUAGUCUCUUGAUUAUCAGGUCCUAGACAAUGUAAAAUCCUGGCACUUUGAUACACUUCUGAGGCAGUGCCCACACCAACAAAUCCUGUAACAGGCUUUUGUUUAGGCUGAUUUUUUUGCCAUUGAUUUAAGGCAAUGAUGGAAACAUCAGCCCCAGUAUCCACUAAUCCUUCAAACUGUUUUCCCUGAAUAGUAACUGUACACACAGGUCUAUUCUCUGAGAGCUGACUAGCCCAAUAAACAGCUACGCAGAAUAGGUACGCCCAAGAACUAGUAAAUACUUGUUACCUCUACACUUUGGCAUCUCAGUGAAGUCCACCUGGAGAUCUUCAAAGGGGGCUGCUCCAUAAGCUUGUAUGCCGGGUGGAACGGCUGGACCCUGCC